rnacentral:rRNA from 1 species
AGCGAACGCUGGCGGCAGGCUUAACACAUGCAAGUCGAGCGGGCACUUUCGGGUGUCAGCGGCGGACGGGUGAGUAACGCGUGGGAACGUGCCCUCUGGUUCGGAAUAACUCAGGGAAACUUGAGCUAAUACCGGAUACGCCCUUCUGGGGAAAGGCUUGCUGCCGGAGGAUCGGCCCGCGUCUGAUUAGCUAGUUGGUGAGGUAACGGCUCACCAAGGCGACGAUCAGUAGCUGGUCUGAGAGGAUGAUCAGCCACACUGGGACUGAGACACGGCCCAGACUCCUACGGGAGGCAGCAGUGGGGAAUAUUGGACAAUGGGCGCAAGCCUGAUCCAGCCGUGCCGCGUGAGUGAUGAAGGUCUUAGGGUUGUAAAGCUCUUUUAUCCGGGACGAUAAUGACGGUACCGGAUGAAUAAGCCCCGGCUAACUUCGUG